rnacentral:rRNA from 1 species
AACGAACGCUGGCGGCAGGCUUAACACAUGCAAGUCGAACGCAUCCUUCGGGGUGAGUGGCAGACGGGUGGGUAACGCGUGGGAACGUGCCCUUCAGUUCGGGAUAACCCAGGGAAACUUGGGCUAAUACCGGAUACGUGCGAGAGCAGAAAGAUUUAUCGCUGAAGGAUCGGCCCACGUCUGAUUAGCUAGUUGGUGGGGUAAUGGCCCACCAAGGCGACGAUCAGUAGCUGGUCUGAGAGGAUGAUCAGCCACGUUGGGACUGAGACACGGCCCAAACUCCUACGGGAGGCAGCAGUGGGGAAUAUUGGACAAUGGGCGCAAGCCUGAUCCAGCCAUGCCGCGUGAGUGAUGAAGGCCUUAGGGUUGUAAAGCUCUUUCGUCCGGGACGAUAAUGACGGUACCGGAAGAAGAAGCCCCGGCUAACUUCGUGCCAGCCGCCGCAGUAA